AAAACUACUAAAACUAGGUAGCAUUCGGUAAAACUACUGAAUGCUACUUGUACGACUCUACUAUUUCUCUCUAUAAAGUGUCUCUCUCAAAGAAGUUAAUUGAAUUUUUGAAUGUUAGAAAAAUAAUUUCUCUUCCCAUCUAACUUGAGUUAUUUAUUACCUCUCCAAUCCAAUUCUAAGUCCACGAGGAUCUCCACCGGUUCCUAAAAUCUAAAUUUAGCAUCAACAAUUGCGUCCCUCAGGGGCAAAAAUAGAACUCUUCCUGAUAUUUCGAUCAUUGAUACUUUGAACCUUUCCUUCACACCCACGACCCG
rnacentral:lncRNA from 1 species